GGAAAGGCGCGCGAUACAGGGUGACAGCCCCGUACACAAAAAUGCACAUGCUGUGAGCUCGAUGAGUAGGGCGGGACACGUGGUAUCCUGUCUGAAUAUGGGGGGACCAUCCUCCAAGGCUAAAUACUCCUGACUGACCGAUAGUGAACCAGUACCGUGAGGGAAAGGCGAAAAGAACCCCGGCGAGGGGAGUGAAAAAGAACCUGAAACCGUGUACGUACAAGCAGUGGGAGCACGCUUAGGCGUGUGACUGCGUACCUUUUGUAUAAUGGGUCAGCGACUUAUAUUCUGUAGCAAGGUUAACCGAAUAGGGGAGCCGAAGGGAAACCGAGUCUUAACUGGGCGUUAAGUUGCAGGGUAUAGACCCGAAACCCGGUGAUCUAGCCAUGGGCAGGUUGAAGGUUGGGUAACACUAACUGGAGGACCGAACCGACUAAUGUUGAAAAAUUAGCGGAUGACUUGUGGCUGGGGGUGAAAGGCCAAUCAAACCGGGAGAUAGCUGGUUCUCCCCGAAAGCUAUUUAGGUAGCGCCUCGUGAAUUCAUCUCCGGGGGUAGAGCACUGUUUCGGCAAGGGGGUCAUCCCGACUUACCAACCCGAUGCAAACUGCGAAUACCGGAGAAUGUUAUCACGGGAGACACACGGCGGGUGCUAACGUCCGUCGUGAAGAGGGAAACAACCCAGACCGCCAGCUAAGGUCCCAAAGUCAUGGUUAAGUGGGAAACGAUGUGGGAAGGCCCAGACAGCCAGGAUGUUGGCUUAGAAGCAGCCAUCAUUUAAAGAAAGCGUAAUAGCUCACUGGUCGAGUCGGCCUGCGCGGAAGAUGUAACGGGGCUAAACCAUGCACCGAAGCUGCGGCAGCGACGCUUAUGCGUUGUUGGGUAGGGGAGCGUUCUGUAAGCCUGUGAAGGUGUGCUGUGAGGCAUGCUGGAGGUAUCAGAAGUGCGAAUGCUGACAUAAGUAACGAUAAAGCGGGUGAAAAGCCCGCUCGCCGGAAGACCAAGGGUUCCUGUCCAACGUUAAUCGGGGCAGGGUGAGUCGACCCCUAAGGCGAGGCCGAAAGGCGUAGUCGAUGGGAAACAGGUUAAUAUUCCUGUACUUGGUGUUACUGCGAAGGGGGGACGGAGAAGGCUAUGUUGGCCGGGCGACGGUUGUCCCGGUUUAAGCGUGUAGGCUGGUUUUCCAGGCAAAUCCGGAAAAUCAAGGCUGAGGCGUGAUGACGAGGCACUACGGUGCUGAAGCAACAAAUGCCCUGCUUCCAGGAAAAGCCUCUAAGCAUCAGGUAACAUCAAAUCGUACCCCAAACCGACACAGGUGGUCAGGUAGAGAAUACCAAGGCGCUUGAGAGAACUCGGGUGAAGGAACUAGGCAAAAUGGUGCCGUAACUUCGGGAGAAGGCACGCUGAUAUGUAGGUGAAGUCCCUCGCGGAUGGAGCUGAAAUCAGUCGAAGAUACCAGCUGGCUGCAACUGUUUAUUAAAAACACAGCACUGUGCAAACACGAAAGUGGACGUAUACGGUGUGACGCCUGCCCGGUGCCGGAAGGUUAAUUGAUGGGGUUAGCGCAAGCGAAGCUCUUGAUCGAAGCCCCGGUAAACGGCGGCCGUAACUAUAACGGUCCUAAGGUAGCGAAAUUCCUUGUCGGGUAAGUUCCGACCUGCACGAAUGGCGUAAUGAUGGCCAGGCUGUCUCCACCCGAGACUCAGUGAAAUUGAACUCGCUGUGAAGAUGCAGUGUACCCGCGGCAAGACGGAAAGACCCCGUGAACCUUUACUAUAGCUUGACACUGAACAUUGAGCCUUGAUGUGUAGGAUAGGUGGGAGGCUUUGAAGUGUGGACGCCAGUCUGCAUGGAGCCGACCUUGAAAUACCACCCUUUAAUGUUUGAUGUUCUAACGUUGACCCGUAAUCCGGGUUGCGGACAGUGUCUGGUGGGUAGUUUGACUGGGGCGGUCUCCUCCUAAAGAGUAACGGAGGAGCACGAAGGUUGGCUAAUCCUGGUCGGACAUCAGGAGGUUAGUGCAAUGGCAUAAGCCAGCUUGACUGCGAGCGUGACGGCGCGAGCAGGUGCGAAAGCAGGUCAUAGUGAUCCGGUGGUUCUGAAUGGAAGGGCCAUCGCUCAACGGAUAAAAGGUACUCCGGGGAUAACAGGCUGAUACCGCCCAAGAGUUCAUAUCGACGGCGGUGUUUGGCACCUCGAUGUCGGCUCAUCACAUCCUGGGGCUGAAGUAGGUCCCAAGGGUAUGGCUGUUCGCCAUUUAAAGUGGUACGCGAGCUGGGUUUAGAACGUCGUGAGACAGUUCGGUCCCUAUCUGCCGUGGGCGCUGGAGAACUGAGGGGGGCUGCUCCUAGUACGAGAGGACCGGAGUGGACGCAUCACUGGUGUUCGGGUUGUCAUGCCAAUGGCACUGCCCGGUAGCUAAAUGCGGAAGAGAUAAGUGCUGAAAGCAUCUAAGCACGAAACUUGCCCCGAGAUGAGUUCUCCCUGACUCCUUGAGAGUCCUGAAGGAACGUUGAAGACGACGACGUUGAUAGGCCGGGUGUGUAAGCGCAGCGAUGCGUUGAGCUAACCGGUACUAAUGAACCGUGAGGCUUAACCUU
rnacentral:rRNA from 1 species